rnacentral:rRNA from 1 species
UGAGGAACAUGACCUUCGGCGGGGGAUAGCCGGCCCAACGGCCGGGUAAUACCGCGUACGACCACUUUGGGACAUCCCUCGGUGGUGAAAGCAGCAAUGCGCCGAUGGAGUGCCUCGCGGCCUAUCAGCUAGUUGGUGAGGUAACGGCUCACCAAGGCGACGACGGGUAGCUGGUCUGAGAGGAUGGCCAGCCACAUUGGGACUGCGACACGGCCCAGACUCCUACGGGAGCAG